rnacentral:tRNA from 1 species
GAGGGUAUAGCUCAGUGGUAGAGCACAUGCUUAGCAUGCAUGAGGUCCUGGGUUCAAGCCCCAGUACUUCCA